UUCUGUUCUAACAAGCUUUGUCUUCUUCAAACACAGUAUGAAUCGAAUGGAGACUGGAUUUUUGUGUCAAUCCUCCCAGUGGACCCCAGAUCACAGUGGUCUAUAGCAGUUCUUGGGCACAUGUACCUAAUGCUGCAGUACUUGUUCAGCCUGAGAUGCUGAUGUCACAGGGAGGUGCCUCCAGUUAUCAUCUCUAAAAGGUUUGCAUGGUUAGCUGCUGACUUCUUGUCCCAGGAGUUACAGCCCAGGAGUGAGGCACUUAUCACGUUUGCUGAAACUCAGCUCAGAUGAAACCCCUUAAACUGGCUCAGUGGACAACUCAAGCACCUCCCUGCCUUGCUGCAGAACCAGGUACUGAGCUGGCCCUGGCAGCAGCCUCAGAAUAAACAAGGGGUGAAAAGGGACCUGGGGCACUGAGGAGAUGGAAGGAAAUAGAAGAUAAAUUUGCAGCAACUAAUCUCCGUUGCACGGCUGCCUUGAAAAUCGAGUGAGAUUUUUUGAAAGAGGUGAUGUAAUUUGGAAGAUGGGAGGUCAGUGCUGGGAAGGGGAAGAGG